rnacentral:tRNA from 1 species
UAUUUAUAAAUCAAGAUAAUUAUUAUUACACUGAAAAUAUAAUGUUUUAAAUUUAAACUAUAUAAAU